UACAGAGGGUGCAAGCGUUGUUCGGAAUUACUGGGCGUAAAGCGCACGUAGGCGGCUUUCUAAGUCGGGGGUGAAAUCCCUGGAGCUCAACUCCAGAACUGCCUUCGAUACUGGAGAGCUUGAGUCCGGGAGAGGUGAGUGGAACUGCGAGUGUAGAGGUGAAAUUCGUAGAUAUUCGCAAGAACACCAGUGGCGAAGGCGGCUCACUGGCCCGGUACUGACGCUGAGGUGCGAAAGCGUGGGGAGCAAACAGG
rnacentral:rRNA from 1 species